rnacentral:rRNA from 1 species
AAGAUCAUUAGUUGCGCCAUGAUGAAAACUACUGUAGCCAUGAAUAUCUCAUUCUCCCCUAAUCCAAAAUUGGAGAAAUAUGAUCUAAUAGAUACCUAUGGAGAAUGUGGUCAGAAAUUCAUAAUGAAGUCCAACCAGAAAAACCAAAUGAAUUAUCCUCGACGAGAAACUUACAAUACAAAAUAA